GAUGAACGCUGGCGGCGUGCCUAAUACAUGCAAGUCGAGCGAAUGGAUUAAGAGCUUGCUCUUAUGAAGUUAGCGGCGGACGGGUGAGUAACACGUGAGUAACCUGCCCAUAAGACUGGGAUAACUCCGGGAAACCGGGGCUAAUACCGGAUAACAUUUUGAACCGCAUGGUUCGAAAUUGAAAGGCGGCUUCGGAUGUCACUUAUGGAUUGACCCGCGUCGCAUUAGCUAGUUGGUGAGGUAACGGCUCACCAAGGCAACGAUGCGUAGCCGAACUGAGAGGGUGAUCGGCCACACUGGGACUGAGACACGGCCCAGACUCCUACGGGGGGCAGCAGUAGGGAAUCUUCCGCAAUGGACGAAAGUCUGACGGAGCAACGCCGCGUGAGUGAUGAAGGCUUUCGGGUCGUAAAACUCUGUUGUUAGGGAAGAACAAGUGCUAGUUGAAUAAGCUGACACCUUGACGGUACCUAACCAGAAAGCCACGGCUAACUACGUGCCAGCAGCCGCCGUAA
rnacentral:rRNA from 1 species